rnacentral:lncRNA from 1 species
GACAUGUAUCGAUACCGAACGCUUCUCGCGAUAUUUCAAACUAAUAUCGACAGAAAUGUCGAAACGAACAAUACGAUUGUUCGUUGUACUUGUUUCCAAUUUUCACUUCGAAACGAAUAAAUGCGCGUUUAAGAUUUAUAGCUGUACAAAUAUAACAAUAACAAAGGAAAAGAUGAUAAGAAAUAUUGUUUGAUUGAAAACAAGAUGAAAGAUGAAGAAACAAGUCGUAAGUGCCAUAAAUUCCGCGCGAAUAACGGCAUCGUUUCUGGCGAAUGCAAAGGUAAGAGUAGUGGAAUACGCACAAAUCCCAGACGUGGAAUUUCACGCUAAUUCCAAGGAAUUCCGUGCAUUGCAAAAAUGCGAAAUAUGGAAUUCCACAUUUAAUCAAAUUCCAAGGGUGGAGUACUCCACACAUUCUACGCACUCGAGUCGGCCCUUGUUACGAAGCGGAAGCAACGAAAGCUUGCUACUUCCGGUCUACGUUUCCUUCCAUUUCCUUUCUGGUCACAUAUCCUUCAUCUCUAAUUUAUUUACAACAAACAUCGAUAUUUUUAUGAAAUGACGCACAACCGAAAUUCAGAAUACAGGAUAUUUUGACUAACCUGUCCAUCUAUUAAAUUUAUUGAAGAACACUGUCUACCAUAUACCUACCUACUAGAAGAUCUGCGCAACUACCGAUUUAAUGCGAAGAAGCAAUUAUAUACCUUGCAAUCCGAAUGGUUGAAUAUUGCAAUCUGUGUUAUCGGCACUUGAAACAACUCUGACAUAAUGCUUAAAUUCGUCAUCACUUUAUCAAAACGCAAACGGUUUGCUGGAAAAUAAAUUUUUUUCCUCAACAGCAGACAAAACUUGCCGACUUACACAUGAUUUAAAAAAGGAAGUUACAAAAGUGAAUAAAUUUGAAUACAAUUCAGUAUAAAAUUAAAACUUCAGUAAAUAAAAUUCUUUUUUCAGGAAUGUAAAAGUCGUAACUAUUUUUCUAAAUGCGUACAGCAGGAUAAAAACAAGUAAAAUCAAAACAGAUUGGAAGAGUAGAAUCAACGGAUAAGCGUGCAUCAGAGGUUUCAGGAGAGCGUUUCGAGGGAUACGUUCCAACGGUGGGUCAGCAUCGACAAGGCUGUGUAUAGCAAUAUGUAACGAACAUGCAAAUACGGAGACUGUUACCGUUAAGUCGGUCGAUUUCACGAAAGCCAUGAAAGCACGUUCGAAAAUGUAUCUCAUUGGAUUGUCGCAACACGAAAGGAGAACUGAAAAUGUUCGGUACGCCAGUGUCCGGAGAAACCACGAUAAAUUCUACUUGAUCUCGCGAGGAGAAAAGAGGUCUGCAAGUUAAUAAGGAAACUAGGUUGCUCGCACCGACGCGCUAGCCGGUUUGCAGUACGCGUCGGUGUAUGCCACGCUUCGAUGCUUGUACUCAUCGCGAAAGAUCGUAACAUCACACAAGUCGGUAACCUAUCAUCCGAAAACAACGACCUUCAAGUAAUCUGUUAAACGCACGUGUCUGAAACUGAUCAACUAUUAUUUUCCGCAAGAAAGUCAACCAUGCUGUACACGAAAUUAUGCCGUGAUCUCGCCUGGUAACACGAGCGUAAAGGAUCCUCUUCAGCGGUCAAGAUUUCGUGAACAAGUACUACGGUAUACACUGCGAAUGAAUAGAGUUGAAGGGAACACCCUUUGACCCAAUCUCGUAGAUUGCAGAUUGCUUUCGUUACUACGCUUCAAAUUGACGAGCAACAAGGCUGAUGUAUUUAGUAUUUCUUCAUAACGUUCGAGGAGAUAACCUAAGGUCCUUGACUGCUCCGACCUUGAAGAUGCUCGAAAUCUCAGAGAUACUUCUCUUCCGUGAUGUGAAUGAAAUACAUGCGAAGGUCUAUGAUGCGUGUGCAUGUGUAGGUUCGUGUAAACGGGGUUGCAUCGGGGGAGCGGUCGACGGGUGGCAGACGGUUUCAUCGAUUGGCAAUGCGGGGGUCGAAGAGUGGGGUUCGUGAACCCCUCCCUCCCUGCUAUCUAUAUCUACUUUAUAACGUAUCGACGACCUCGGUUUUCAUGGUCAUGGGUAAAAAGAAACCGUUCUGACUCGAAGGGAGAGCUUGCCAGUCGGUAACGAGGAAUAUAUUUGUGCGCCUGAUGCGCAACGGAAAUGCAUUUGUCAAAACCACGCCCUUGUCGAAUCCUACCGUCCUACACUGGCGUGCACCGUAAAGCUUCUCUAGGGAAAAUGGCGAGAUGGGGGAAAAGACCACACCGGGCGUUGAUUUUUUAUUGAAAUUUGGAAAAUUCGGAGAUUUGCAUAUUUGGAAAUUUUCAACUUUAAUCUAAAAUCAAAGAUAAGUCUCUUGUUUUUAAAGGAAAACUAUAUCUGAGUAUAUCUGGAAACCGGAUGAUAGCUUUAGGGUAGCUACUCGAUUCUUUAUAUGUACAUGGCUUGUUCACUUUCGAAUUAACUCCCGUAUCAAGAUUUCCGGCGAAGGAUAAAAUGGAUGAUUCGAAAAUGAAAUGUAUAUAAAUAUAUAAAUGCACAGGACCUGUAUGGAGAUUUGACCACACCCCUCCAUUUUUGAUCAUUGAAUAAUAAACACGAUCGAUAUCGUUAAAAAUUAUUGGUCCGCGUUUAUCGGUCCGCUUGUUGAAGACAAACAGGAUGAGCAACGUAUCAACGAUGACCGCCUUCGGAUAGCUUUCAUAAUGUUAAAAACAUGUAUAUAUGUGCGAUUGUGCUACCGCCUUUCUUCAAUGUAGGAAGAAAGCCGGUCCCGGCGAAUGUACCGGUACAAUGACACCGAUACGAUUCUUUCACUCAAAGAAAAUUUAUCAGCGGACAAUUUAAACGGCGAGAUAGAAUGUAUCGCGCAAAGAGC